UUCGCACUGAUUAGUGGCGAACGGGUGAGUAACGCGUGGGUAAUCUACCCUGUAAGUGGGGGAUAACCCUCCGAAAGGAGGGCUAAUACCGCAUAAUAUCUUCUCCUCAUUAAGAGGUAAAGAUUAAAGAUGGCCUCUUUAUAUGCUAUCACUUCAGGAUGAGCCCGCGUCCUAUUAGUUAGUUGGUAGGGUAAUGGCCUACCAAGACCACAAUGGGUAGCCGGUCUGAGAGGAUGUACGGCCACACUGGGACUGAGAUACGGCCCAGACUCCUACGGGAGGCAGCAGUGGGGAAUAUUGCGCAAUGGGGGAAACCCUGACGCAGCGACGCCGCGUGGAUGAUGAAGGCCUUCGGGUUGUAAAGUCCUGUUCUGGGGGAAGAAACCUUAAGGGUCCAAUACACCCUUAAGUUGACGGUACCCCAAGAGAAAGCUCCGGCUAAUUAUGUGCCAGCAGCCGCGGUAAUACAUAAGGAGCAAGCGUUGUCCGGAAUUAUUGGGCGUAAAGAGCUCGUAGGCGGUCUUAAAAGUCAGGUGUUAAAUUAUCAGGCUCAACCUGAUAAAGUCAUCUGAAACUCUAAGACUUGAGGGUAGAAGAGGAAAGUGGAAUUCCCGGUGUAGCGGUGAAAUGCGUAGAUAUCGGGAGGAAUACCAGUGGCGAAGGCGGCUUUCUGGUCUAUCUCUGACGCUGAGGAACGAAAGCUAGGGGAGCAAACGGGAUUAGA
rnacentral:rRNA from 1 species